rnacentral:rRNA from 1 species
UACGUAGGGUGCGAGCGUUGUCCGGAAUUAUUGGGCGUAAAGGGCUCGUAGGCGGUUUGUCGCGUCGGGAGUGAAAACGCCGUGCUUAACACGGCGCUUGCUUUCGAUACGGGCAGACUAGAGGUAUGCAGGGGAGAACGGAAUUCCUGGUGUAGCGGUGAAAUGCGCAGAUAUCAGGAGGAACACCGGUGGCGAAGGCGGUUCUCUGGGCAUGACCUGACGCUGAGGAGCGAAAGUGUGGGGAGCGAACAGG